rnacentral:ncRNA from 1 species
AUAAAAGCUAUGAUAGGAUUAAUUAGAUAUGUUAAUAUUUUUUUACAGAGAGUGGGGUAAGGUGAAAACCCAUAAAUAUACAUGUUGAAACUCACCCUGGAGCUGUGGACUGAAUGUUUAGUAGGUCUAAUCGGUUGUUUAACCGUUAUGUUAAUUAAGUAAAAAAAUGGGUGGUACCGCGGCAGACUUUUCGCCCCAGCG